rnacentral:rRNA from 1 species
UACGUAGGGUGCAAGCGUUAAUCGGAAUUACUGGGCGUAAAGCGUGCGCAGGCGGCUUUGCAAGACAGAUGUGAAAUCCCCGGGCUCAACCUGGGAACUGCAUUUGUGACUGCAUCGCUCGAGUGCGGCAGAGGGGGAUGGAAUUCCGCGUGUAGCAGUGAAAUGCGUAGAUAUGCGGAGGAACACCGAUGGCGAAGGCAAUCCCCUGGGCCUGCACUGACGCUCAUGCACGAAAGCGUGGGGAGCAAACAGG